ACACACAAAAAGAAAAAGGGUGCCCAGAGAGAUCUCGUGCGACCUCCUGCCUACGUACCUCAUCUGAUAUGAGGAUCAUGGCGACGUAGUUCCCCUGAACGGGAAAGAGAUUCCUUCUCCUAACCAGAGACCGGGAAAUGACCAACUAGAAGGGAGACUGACUCGAGCCUAAUAGUUAUCAUGUAUUCCACAAUGGUCCUAGGUUGAGUUUUCUAUCUAUCUUGCACAGGCUGAAAGCUAAUCCUAAACAGGCAAAGCAAA
rnacentral:lncRNA from 1 species